rnacentral:lncRNA from 1 species
UGCAAAUGGAAAUUUUAGGGAAAAAGAAGAAAAGCAAAGGUCCAAAAAGCAAUGUCAGAGGAGAAACCCGCUCUCUGAAAUAGUGGCUUCUCAUGCAAUGACACAGAACGUCCACAUGCUAAAUCAUGAAGAUCAUGACAAUACGGUGACUGCAUCGGAAACAGAGUAUUUCGUUAAUAGAAAAUUAUUAGGACAAUUGGGUCAGGAAGACACUGCUGUCUAGAAUAGUCGGGAUACAGCGAAGAUUGCUGUUUUACUUCAGCAAGAACAGGGUGGAUGCCGCAUUGUAUUUGUUUGCAUCUGUCCUUGAGUCAUCCUUACGCCCACGGUCAUCACCACCAUGUAGCUAGUGACAAUAAGCCUGUGAGAUAGGCAUUCUGAUCAUUUCACAACGGUGUAUGAAAAAGACUCUGAAAGAGAAUAAUUUGCCCAAAUUUUACAUAUUGUGUGUCUCAUAUAUAUAGUUACCAUAGUAAUACGUGCAGGACUGAGAGUCAAACACAGCCCUGGAGUACCUGACAGCUGUCUGCAAUCUCUCCCAAUCUGUGCAGGAAUUUCACAGAAGCAGAGCAUUUCCCCACAAUGAUCUAAGUUUUCCAGCCUCAACUAUUAAAGAGAUAAAAAUUUCAAUUUCUGUGCAUUCAAAUCUAUUCAAUUUAUUUUUACAAACAAAAUCCUUAUUCCUGUUGGCUAUGUGGCCCCGUACAUUCCAGGCCAGCUAAAGAAGUUAACUUGAAGAGGGAUGUGUGGACCCUCAUUCUCUGUGCCCCACUACCUGUCAGGGUGUCAUGGACAUCAGGGCUCAAAGUUUUGUGCAUCCUAGUAAACACCACUGCACCAAUGAGUCUUUUUGAUACAUUUUUUUUCUGAGACGGAGUCUCAC